rnacentral:rRNA from 1 species
GACGAACGCUGGCGGCGUGCCUAAUACAUGCAAGUAGAACGCACAGUUUAUACCGUAGCUUGCUACACCAUAGACUGUGAGUUGCGAACGGGUGAGUAACGCGUAGGUAACCUGCCUGGUAGCGGGGGAUAACUAUUGGAAACGAUAGCUAAUACCGCAUAAUAUUAAUUAUUGCAUGAUAAUUGAUUGAAAGAUGCAACUGCAUCACUACCAGAUGGACCUGCGUUGCAUUAGCUAGUAGGUGAGGUAACGGCUCACCUAGGCGACGAUACAUAGCCGACCUGAGAGGGUGAUCGGCCACACUGGGACUGAGACACGGCCCAGACUCCUACGGGAGGCAGCAGUAGGGAAUCUUCGGCAAUGGACGAAAGUCUGACCGAGCAACGCCGCGUGAGUGAAGAAGGUUUUCGGAUCGUAAAGCUCUGUUGUAAGAGAAGAACGGGUGUGAGAGUGGAAAGUUCACACUGUGACGGUAUCUUACCAGAAAGGGACGGCUAACUACGUG